rnacentral:rRNA from 1 species
UGCGAGUCGAACGUGAAAGCACUUCGGUGUGAGUAGAGUGGCGGACGGGUGAGUAACGCGUGGGAAUCUACCCAGUAGUGGGGGACAACUACCGGAAACGGUAGCUAAUACCGCAUACGCCCUAUGGGGGAAAGGCUUCGGCCGCUAUUGGAUGAGCCCGCGUCAGAUUAGCUAGUUGGUAGGGUAAAGGCCUACCAAGGCAACGAUCUGUAGCUGGUCUGAGAGGACGAACAGCCACACUGGGACUGAGACACGGCCCAGACUCCUACGGGAGGCAGCAGUGGGGAAUAUUGGACAAUGGGCGAAAGCCUGAUCCAGCAAUGCCGCGUGUGUGAAGAAGGCCUGCGGGUUGUAAAGCACUUUCAGUUGGGAAGAUGAUGACGUUACCAACAGAAGAAGCACCGGCUAAAUCCGUGCCAGCAGCCGCGGUAAUACGGAUGGUGCGAGCGUUAAUCGGAAUUACUGGGCGUAAAGCGCGCGUAGGCGGCUAAGUCAGUCAGAAGUGAAAGCCCCGGGCUCAACCUGGGAAUUGCUUUUGAUACUGCUUAGCUAGAGUUUGGUAGAGGAUAGUGGAAUUCCAGGUGUAGCGGUGAAAUGCGUAGAUAUCUGGAGGAACAUCAGUGGCGAAGGCGACUGUCUGGACCAAAACUGACGCUGAGGUGCGAAAGCGUGGGUAGCAAACAGGAUUAGAUACCCUGGUAGUCCACGCCGUAAACGAUGUCAACUAGCCGUCGGGUCUAUUUACAGACUUGGUGGCGAAGCUAACGCGAUAAGUUGACCGCCUGGGGAGUACGGCCGCAAGGUUAAAACUCAAAGGAAUUGACGGGGGCCCGCACAAGCGGUG